rnacentral:tRNA from 1 species
GGCAUGGUGUAGUGGUUUGAGUGUUGGACUAUGGCUCUUGUGACCAGGGUUCAAAUCCCUGCUCAGUCA